AUGGGCUGCCUGGUGAAGGGCUACUUCCCAGAGCCGGUGACCGUGUCUUGGAACAAAGGCGCCCUGUCCAGCGGUGUGCACACCUUCCCGUCCGUCCUGCACUCCUCCGGGCUCUACUCCCUCAGCAGCAUGGUGACCGUGCCCGCCAGCAGCUUGCCCAGCCGUAAAGCCACAUGCAACGUAGCCCACCCAGCCACCAACACCAAGGUGGACAAGACCAUUGAGCUCAAAGGCCAAAAAUGGGAUUGCCCACUGGUAGGACCUUCAGUCUUCCUCUUCCCGCCAAAACCCAAGGACACCCUCAUGAUGUCCCUCACCCCCAAGGUCACUUGCGUGGUAGUGGACGUGAGCAAGGAUGACCCCAAUGUUGAGAUCAGCUGGUACGUGGAUGGUGAGCAGGUGCACACAGCCCAGAAGACUUCCAGGGAGGAGCAGUUCAACAGCACGUUACGCGUGGUCAGCGUCCUGCCCAUCCAGCACCAGGACUGGCUGAAGGGCAAGGAAUUCAAGUGCAAGGUCCAGAACAAAGCCCUCCCAGCCCCUGUCGAGAGAACCAUCUCCAAAACCAAAGGGCAGCCCAUGGAGCCGCAGGUGUACGUCUUGGCCCCAUCCGCAAAGGAGAUGGUGAACAGCAAGGUCAGUGUCACCUGCUUGGCCAAAGGCUUCUACCCUGAUGACAUCUACGUCGAGUGGAAGCACAACAAGCAGCCAGUUGAGAACUACAAGACCACGCCGUCUGUGCUGGACGAUGACGGCACCUACUUCGUCUACAGCAAGCUCAUGGUGGACAAGAGGCAGUGGCAGAAUAAAGACGAAUUCACCUGCCACGUCCUGCACGAGGCCCUGAAAAACCACAGCACGCAGGAGUCCAUCUCCAUGCCUCCGGCGCUGCAACCCGACGAGAGCUGUGCCGAGGCCCAGGACGGGGAGCUGGACGGGCUGUGGACGACCAUCACCAUCUUCAUCACGCUCUUCCUGCUCAGCGUGUGCUACAGCGCCACCGUCACCCUCUUCAAGGUGAAGUGGAUCUUCUCCUCGGUCGUGGAGCUGAAGCAUACCAUCGUCCCCGACUACAGGAACAUGAUCGGGCAGGGGGCUUAG